GUAGGUGGCAAGCGUUGUCGGGAAUUAUUGGGCGUAAAGCGCGCGCAGGCGGUCCUUUAAGUCUGAUGUGAAAGCCCACGGGCUCAACCGUGGAGGGUCAUUGGAAACUGAGGGACUUGAGUACAGAAGAGGAAAGCGGAAUUCCACGUGUAGCGGUGAAAUGCGUAGAGAUGUGGAGGAACACCAGUGGCGAAGGCGGCUUUCUGGUCUGUAACUGACGCUGAGGCGCGAAAGCGUGGGGAGCAAACAGGAUUAGAUACCCUGGUAGUCCACGCCGUAAACGAUGAGUGCUAAGUGUUAGGGGGUUUCCGCCCCUUAGUGCUGCAGCUAACGCAUUAAGCACUCCGCCUGGGGAGUACGACCGCAAAGGUUG
rnacentral:rRNA from 1 species